UACGUAGGGUGCAAGCGUUUGUCCGGAAUUAUUGGGCGUAAAGAGCUCGUAGGCGGUUUGUCGCGUCUGCCGUGAAAGUCCGGGGCUCAACUCCGGAUCUGCGGUGGGUACGGGCAGACUAGAGUGAUGUAGGGGAGACUGGAAUUCCUGGUGUAGCGGUGGAAUGCGCAGAUAUCAGGAGGAACACCGGUGGCGAAGGCGGGUCUCUGGGCUGUAACUGACGCUGAGGAGCGAAAGCGUGGGUAGCGAACAGG
rnacentral:rRNA from 1 species